UACGAAGGGGGCUAGCGUUGUUCGGAAUUACUGGGCGUAAAGCGCGCGCAGGUGGUCUUUCAAGUCAGUGGUGAAAGCCCGGAGCUCAACUCCGGAACUGCCAUUGAAACUGUUUAGCUUGAGGAUGAGAGAGGUGAGUGGAAUUCCCAGUGUAGAGGUGAAAUUCGUAGAUAUUGGGAAGAACACCAGUGGCGAAGGCGAGUCUCUAGACAACUCCUGACACUGAGGCACGAAAGCUAGGGGAGCAAACAGG
rnacentral:rRNA from 1 species